CCUACGGGAGGCAGCAGUGAGGAAUAUUGGUCAAUGGACGAGAGUCUGAACCAGCCAAGUAGCGUGAAGGAUGACUGCCCUAUGGGUUGUACACUUCUUUUAUAUGGGAAUAAAACAGGGUAUGCAUACCCUCUUGUAUGUACCAUAUGAAUAAGGAUCGGCUAACUCCGUGCCAGCAGCCGCGGUAAUACGGAAGAUCCGAGCGUUAUCCGGAUUUAUUUGGUUUAAAGGGAGCGUAGGUGGAUUGUUAAGUCAGUUGUGAAAGUUUGCGGCUCAACCGUAAAAUUGCAGUUGAAACUGGCAGUCUUGAGUACAGUAGAGGUGGGCGGAAUUCGUGGUGUAGCGGUGAAAUGCUUAGAUAUCACGAAGAACUCCGAGUGCGAAGGCAGCUCACUGGACUGCAACUGACACUGAUGCUCGAAAGUGUGGGUAUCAAACAGGAUUAGAUACCCUUGUAGUC
rnacentral:rRNA from 1 species